rnacentral:rRNA from 1 species
AGUGAACGCUGGCGGUAGGCCUAACACAUGCAAGUCGAACGGCAGCACAGUAAGAGCUUGCUCUUACGGGUGGCGAGUGGCGGACGGGUGCGGAAUACAUCGGAAUCUACUUUUUCGUGGGGGCUAACGUAGGGAAACUUAUGCUAAUACCGCAUACGACCUACGGGUGAAAGCAGGGGAUCUUCGGACCUUGCGCGAUUGAAUGAGCCGAUGUCGGAUUAGCUAGUUGGCGGGGUAAAGGCCCACCAAGGCGACGAUCCGUAGCUGGUCUGAGAGGAUGAUCAGCCACACUGGAACUGAGACACGGUCCAGACUCCUACGGGAGGCAGCAGUGGGGAAUAUUGGACAAUGGGCGCAAGCCUGAUCCAGCCAUACCGCGUGGGUGAAGAAGGCCUUCGGGUUGUAAAGCCCUUUUGUUGGGAAAGAAAAGCAGCAGGUUAAUACCCCGCUGUUCUGACGGUACCCAAAGAAUAAGCAUCGGCUAACUUCGUG